rnacentral:rRNA from 1 species
CAGCCGCCACGGUAAUACGAGGGGGGCAAGCGUUGUUCGGAAUUAUUGGGCGUAAAGGGUGCGUAGGCGGUUUGGCAAGUUUCGUGUGAAAACUUCGGGCUCAACCCGAAGCCUGCACGGAAAACUGCCGGGCUUGAGUAUGGGAGAGGUGAGUGGAAUUUCCGGUGUAGCGGUGAAAUGCGUAGAUAUCGGAAGGAACACCUGUGGCGAAAGCGGCUCACUGGACCAUAACUGACGCUGAGGCACGAAAGCUAGGGGAGCAAACAGGAUUAGAUACCCCAGUAGUCCCUGUCUCUUAUAC